rnacentral:rRNA from 1 species
UACGGGGGGGGUAAGCGUUGUUCGGAAUUACUGGGCGUAAAGCGUGCGUAGGCGGUUUCCUAAGUCGGAUGUGAAAGCCCUGGGCUCAACCUGGGAAUGGCACUCGAUACUGGGAAGCUGGAGUGCGGUAGAGGAGGGUGGAAUUCCCGGUGUAGCGGUGAAAUGCGUAGAGAUCGGGAGGAACAUCAGUGGCGAAGGCGACCCUCUGGACCAGCACUGACGCUGAGGCACGAAAGCGUGGGGAGCAAACAGG